rnacentral:lncRNA from 1 species
GUGUGACUUUAUCCUGGAGGCAGUGGGAUGCUGAUAGCAAGUUCAGACAGGCAUGAGGCCAGACCAGAGCUGAGUUUUCAAGAUAACUCCAGCCAGAGGAGUCUGCACUAUGGAAACAACCUGUCAAUCCAGCUCAAGGCACACAUAGCCCAGACACCCAUGAGACCCUCUCCGUGGGGACCCUAGAGCACCUAUCAUGAACGAGGAGACCAAGGCUGGCUCCUCAUGGACCCCGUUGGCCUCCAGCUCGGCAACAAGAACCUGUGGAGCUGUCUUGUGAGG